UUACAGCCACACCAUUUUGAAAACACCAGUUCCUGUACAAUCACUGAAAUUAAGAAAGGUCGAGCCUGGCAAGUACCUGGAUGGGUGACAUCUAAGGAAAACCAGUUGCU